ACAUUUGGGUAUUAUUUUACAAGAGUCUGUUUCUUUGAGGAGAUUCACCAUUGCUAGUAACUUGUAUCUAGAAGAGGAUGGUGCUACCUUUAGCAACCUCUGAAACACAGAUGUUCUUAUUCUCAUUCAGUCAAAUCAGUGCUGCAUAUUCAACUUGAUUCAUGUUAUAAAAUGUAUCCUUAUAAUUUGUUUUCAGUACAGGCUUGUUAUUUUUCCAUACACAUUUGAUUGCCUUAAGAGAAUCAGAGGCCAGUGUUAAAACACUGGGUUUCUUAAGUUUCUUACAGAUAUAUUCUUUAUCAUUCUCUGAAUGCAGUUUAUGACGAUUGGUAAACGACUUUGCACUAUUAAGUGUAUCAGUCACUUUCUCCUCUUGUAAAGGAGUUGAAGUCCACUCAGCACUACUGUUUUAUUAAGUGACAGUACAUUAGAAAAUAGUUAAUAAUGGAGCACAUGACAAUCUCCUUCUUACUUGAAAUUUGCAUGUUUUUGCUGUCCUCACUACUUUGUCUUCUUUUUGCCUUUUUACAUCCACCACUUCCUUUCUAAAAUUUUACAUCUUCUCUUCUAGUAUACUUUCUGGUGCUGAAUAUUGCUUACCUAAUCAUGGAGAUCACCUUGGAAACACAUGAGAGUUCUCUAGCCCAUCUCUAAAAAAGCAAAGCCAGAUGACUGUCACUGGUGAAGUGACACCCUGACUGCAUAUGCAAAAAUCGGAAAAAGGGGUUGUGGAUGAAUGGAUGGAUUACAGCUGUGAAGCAUAAGUGAAUUGUUGGAAUCUACAUCAAAGAAGAAUUUGGACUGAUGGGGAAGCAAGCAUUAAGAGAUAUGAAAGUGUGUCCAAACUAGUUACAGAAUGCAAGGUUACCAGAAGUAGAAAUCCCAAACCAAAUACAAAUGGAAAGGAAAUAAUGGCAGGAUGGUGGAUGUUACUGGAUGAAAGUCCCCCUGUAUAAAACCCGCUUUGGCACGGUUUUUGCGCUUGUUACUACUCAGC